UAGAACCUCUACAUUCUGGUGRCUGAUUCUGCUAUUGGAAUGGCCUCCCUCACAGCCUCAAGAAAGAAUGGCUAUUCCUGAAGCCAUCAAAAUGUCACGUAAUCUGGCGCUGCAAUACUUCUGCUUUUGACUGGAUCACUGUCCAGAAAAGAAAUCCAGAAAAAGGAGAAUAUUCUUGCUAUAGAGCUUUUGGAGUCUUUGAGUACACUGAGUGGUCCCCUCAAGUGGGAAGAGGCAAGUGAAGGUUAUCCACUGUGACCUUUGAAGGUCUUGUGCUACGAAGUGACCUGGAGCCACGUAAAGCUCAAUGUCUCAAAAACACUUACCUUUGAGGAAUCAAAGUUAUUGGACUAGCAA
rnacentral:lncRNA from 1 species